GGUGGCUCUGAGUCAGCACGAGUCAUCUGGUUCCAGUGACAAUGAAGACUGAGGUGUCUGCUUUGCAGUUUUUUUUUUUCUUUUCUUGUCUUUUUUUUUUUUUUUCCUAAUCAUGUGGACAUCUCUGAGAAUGAGGGGACUGGGUGACUUUGCAGUGUCUGCUUUCUAAGUUUCAAAGUGACUUUCCAGGCAAGCUGCGCAUAUCUUGGGAUCUUCACAGCACAGUGGCUGGGAAGGCAGGCGGACCCGUCUAUCAGCUUCUCCCUGGUGGGAUUCUUGCGGGGGCAGGGAUCGAGUCAAACCUUGGAAAUGACGUCAUUCUGAACUCAUCUGCCUUUAUCCAGAAGACUACCAAAGCAAACCAGAGGACCAGAGAACAGCAGCUGCUCUGGACAAAGAGGGGAGGACACCCACACCCACAUACCAAGUUCUGGUUGACUUCUACAGCAGAAGAAGCAGGAGACACAAGAAGAAGUCUCCGAUUUGACGGUCAGGAUCCCGGAGAAGACUCUCCAGCCACAGGGCUGAUCAUGGUGGCUUCUCUCCAGAUGGGUGAAGUAGAGCAUUGCUUUUGGACUCUGCUUAUAUACUGGCCAGUGGGAGCCAUGGGAUUCUAGGCUUAUGCCUGGUUAGCUUGAGUAAAUGAUGGGACUGAGUUCUGGUGAACAGGUAUAGCCUUGGGUGUAGUGGGAUGCUGACUAAGCUAUUUUCACAUGUCUAAACAGUAUUUUUUUUUAAACUAUGCUUCUUAUACUUCAUAUUUGAAUAUUCCGUUUUUUAAGAGGGACGGGGAGAUAGCUCUGUGGUUAAUAAUGCCUGUUGCCAAGACCAAUGGCCUGGAAUUGGUGUGUGUGUGUGUGUGUGUGUGUGUGUGUGCACUUUUAUAUUAUUUAUCACAUAUAAAUCAUCAUAUUGAUAUAAACCUAAAUCAGGUAAACACACAGCUUUUUCUAUACGUAUCAAUACUUUAUAAAUUAACUUCAUGGAAGUCUUUAAAAUUAUAGGGACAAGUAAACAUGGCACAGAAAAGAGAACAGUGUGGCACAUUAAAUCCAGCCUACCUUUUCUAAACUUUGUCUGUGAGGUUAAAAAAUGUUCAACAAAUCUGAUUUUUCCCUGUCCUCUAGUUACCAAA
rnacentral:lncRNA from 1 species